rnacentral:lncRNA from 1 species
UAAUAAUUAAAACAACAACAAAAUUGGAACAUGACCAUGAUAUGACAUUAAUUUUCCAAAACCAGGUAGAGCAAUAGCAAAUCUACCCAAUAGUUCUUUUGUUUGCAAGGAGUGGGAUAAACAAUACUAGGGAUACCUAUUAGGUCCCAUCAUAUUAACCUGAGCAUGUCACAGUGAUUAACAUGAACAUUUUUAGGUAGAGAAAAGUGAUCAAGGGCACAACUUGCUUUAUACUCGAGAUUCCAGGUACUUCACCAAGUAGGUCUUCGGGUAACUCGUAACCUCGCUGCUACUCGUAGCAAUACAUGCAAAUAGACAAAAAUUACAUAAAAAUAACAGUACACCAAACAUGAGAAAAACAGUGUAAGAUUAUUCUACGCGCUACUACGAGGUCGUAGGUUUGAGAAUCACUAAAAUCGGAGUCACGGUCAUAAAGAUACGAGUUUCAGAAGAUUUAUGCGAUUAAACAGGAAAACUAUGUUCUAUAUUAAUUAUUAUAAAUCAUGCAAAAAAGGAUAUUCUAAAUAAAAUAACUAACUUAAGCCUAAUCCAAGUGAUAACUUAAUUAGAAAUCAUAUGUUAGCCAACUUAUUAUUUUAAACAGUUUAACUUUGACUAGAAAGGUUAAUCUACUAACAUAGGUUAAACAAAAUACCUAUUUAUAAAAUUUAUGGGACUUGAUCAAACAAUACUGUCACUAUGUAGGUAACUUUAUUACGGAACUAACGCAACUUGAAUGGGUCAAAUCAAAGUUAGAAUAAAUUAUUUAUGGAUUUUCUAUGAUUUUUGGAAUUAUUUUUACGCUUAGAAAUCAAUUUUCUAGAUUUUAUUAUUGCUGUUAACUGAAAAAUGGGUGGUGGCAUUAAUUUCCCAAAGGUCAAGGACUGAUCUAUAAAUGUUUGGGCCAAACUGUAAUGAUCUUAUAAUGGCACGGGAUGGCGGGUUUAUUUGGUAAAACGACAUGGGUUCUUAUGCAUAAUUCCUUUGUCCAAGGGGUAUUGGUCAACCAGAUCCAUCAGAUUGACUAUCAAUGGCCUAGAUUAAAAUUUGGUUACGACAAUCUGGUAAGCCAUAUGGGCCCUUGGAUAUGAGAUCCACGCCCCAUAGACAACCACGCUUCAUUAAUUUUGAACCCUUGGUUCAAAGAUCAACGACUACGAUCUAAUGGGUCGAAGGGGUAUUCCUUCACUUAAUUUGGUUCGCUCAUUGUCCAAUCAACGACCAAAUGCUUCCCCUUCCUAGCCAAUGCACGGCGACGGAGCAGAGCUCCCAUCGCGGCGGUGCCAUGGCCGGGGAUCCGCCCUCUUCACGCACCAAGGCCCCCAUCCAUGAUCCGAUUGUCACAACACGAGAUAAAGAACAUUGCGAACGGGUGGGAGUAGAUUUUACCAAUGUUUGUGAAUCAUACAUGGCCGCCCACGAUGAUAUGCAGAGUCACGGCGGAAGGAUUGCUCCGGUGAGCAAUCACCGACGCCCGGUGCAAGCACUAGAUCCGUCUGUCCCUCGAACACCCGUCUCACACCCUCACGAACGUCCGGGACCUCGCCCUGGCCCCUAAAUAGCCCUGGAAUCACAGAACGACGGUGAGGCUGCUUCGCGGCGUCCACCAAUUCCCCACAGUGCUUCCCUAGGCACCGGUUCUGCACCAGACCUCCAUGGUAACAUCAGCGCGACACCAAGCAGUUCCCUGGCCCCAAACCGAGGCAACGUUGUUGCUAUCUCCGUGAAUCAACGGUGGCGGGCAUGGCUUCACGCACCUGAUUCCCCGGCGGUGGCAUGGGCGGCCUUCUGUUCACACACUCCCCGCCCGGCGCCGAAGCAGUCCUCGGCUGGAUGGGAUGGGGUGGCCGCGAGCUUGGCUAUAAAUACCCCGGAGUCCGAUCGGGGGAUCAACCCCAACAACCCCGAGGCGGCGGUAGCGGGUUCUGUUCGGGUGGGGACGAAGAGGG